GUGAGGGGACCUGGGGGGAGGGCGCCGGCGGGAUGAAGAGCCCAGGUCUCGCAGCUCAGAGGGGAGGAGAAGCCCAGAUUCUUGGGAAGGCCCCGACAGAGGCCUCCAAUUCCUCUCCCCGUCCUUCUAAGUCGGCCAAGAGUGAUUCCGGGCCUCGCCCCGCUGCGUAUGACCCCAGGCGGCCGCCUCCUCCCCGCCCGUCGUGCCUCUGGGGGUGACCGCUGCCCGGUCUCCCCGGCAAGAGCCCCCGGGCCACGCCCCCACACCGCCUGGACCGGUAACUGUGUUUCUUCGACUGUCGGGGCCCAGCCUUGCCGGCGUCCGGCGCCCGCUGAGUGGGCGAUUACUGGCUGAGCCCGCAGCACCACCGCCCGCCGGGCGGUGCCUGGCGCUGGCCUGCGCACAACCUGCUGCUGCUGCCAGGGACCACCGGGCUGACGGACGUGCCCUCCGCACGAGGGCCCAGCUGCUACGGCGCGCGCCCGCGCUUCACUUAACAGGUAUGUAUUGAGCACCCUCUGUUGAAAGUGACCCCGACACAGAGGAGAAUGGCUGGACUUGUACAGAGAGACAGUGAGAAGCUGAUGAAACAGCCUAGGUCCAGAUGAGGAUACUGAGGCUCAGAAGGACCAAAAGCCACAGAGCUAGGAUGUGAUGGGGCCAGCUCUGCACAAUGAAGACUGCCUCAGCACAGCGAUGCCUCACGGAACCCUUGCCACAACCCCAAGUGGCACCCGGUGUCCUCAUUUUACAGGGUGGGCACUGCAGGACUUGUCAGGGGAAGGGACUUGUCCAGGGUCACAAAGCUGGAAGGGAGCAGUAGUGUGGCUCCAGAUCAUUUGAAGGAAGAGGCUGAAUGGGAGAGGUCAUGGGGCAAGAUCUGAGCAGUGUGGAGAGGGGGACCUGAACGGGACUAGGAGAGAGUUUCAGUUUCCCUUUUAAAGGGACUUCCCCUGGAUGGGGGAUUUUGGUUGGAAAGUUGUUAGCAAUCCACAUUCCAUGGGUCUGGCCACCUCCUGGGUGCCUUCCCCAAAGGCAUCCAGGAUCUGAAAAGAAACUGAAAGUUGGGAGGAAGGGAGGGUGGGGCGGGGGUAAGGGAGAGGCUGAGGCAGCCCAGAACAACUGGGUUGAAUUUCUGGUGACCUCACUGAGCCUGGGGGAGAUGGGCAGGCGAGCUGGGAUUACACACAAACCUCUUAGCUAUUGGAGAAAUUGAGCCUCAAAGAAACUGUUCUAUUAGAUAGUGGCUGGGCCCUGUCCAGUGUACACAACCCAAACCUUGCUCCAGACUCAGCCUCUGCCUCUAUCCCCACCACACCACCCACACACGACACACACACACACACACACACACACACACACACACACACACACACACACACACACACACACACACACACACCCCAGAGAUGAGAGGAAGAGGAGGGGAAAGGAAGAAAUAAAAGAUCUGGGUGGCCUAAAAUUCUGAAGGGAACUUUCAGAAUCCCUUGUUUUUUGUGAUGUGACUGGUUGGAUGCUGGGUCCCAGGAAAGGGCCCCUGAGGUGCUCCAGUAUCCAGACCCAGGUUCAAGGCCCAGGACUGGCAGAGAGGCUGCAGACCUGGGUCCUGCUGACAACUAAGCCAUAACCCAGUUUUCCCAGGGUGCUGGGGAGUCAAGUCCCAGGGCUCCUGGGCCUGCAGCUGUUUUGUGUCUCCCUGCCGACAUCCCUAACUGCUCCUCCCAGACCUGGAGCAUCAGAACCCUUCUUGGAGGCCUCCAGAGCCUAGCAUGGCCCUGCUCCUCAGAGGUCCCGAAAACUGCUUUCUUUUAGUCCUGACCUCCUCGUCAUCUUCUGCUCACGCAGA